AGAAGAGAGAAGGACUUCAGCUUCACUCCAACGACAUGUAAGACUGCUGAAAAAAGGUUGGAGAACAGUGGCCCUUGGAGAAAGAACAGAAGCACUUGAGGUUUGCCUCCAGGACAUCACACCUCCUAUUAAGCGCCUUUACAAAGCAGGAGAAAGAGUGAAAUGGAGGAAAAAAUACAUAGAUGGGUCAAGUAAGCAGCAGGAGCAAAGAGCAGAAGAGGAAAUAGGAAAGAAGAAGGGAGAGGAAAAGAGAGAGAGAGGAGAGAAGACAGAUGAGGAGGGAAAAGCAGUGGAAGAAGGAAGCAACAAAUGUAAAGGAGGAAGAGGCUAUGAAGACGGAACUUAUAGCCCAGCGAAGGCUUUCCAAGC